CUUGUACAAUAAAUUACUAUUCUUUGCAGUUUUGACGCAAAAUUAAAAAUUAAAUUUUUUUUCCUCUUUCAAAAAGAGAAACUAAAACAACGAAAUCUAGGUUAUCAUUUCUGGGUAAUAAGAAAUUAGCCAGGUGUGUGUUCACAAAAAGGUUGCUUUCUAAAUACCAGCCCUCGAUAAAGAAAAUAUUAGACAAACAAGUUACCUAUUGUAAUAUCAAUAAUAAUUACUUGAAACCCCUAAAUUACUAUUAAGCGGCUAAAUCCCCUUUCUAGUUACAAGGUUUAACUUUCCCCGAUUUGGUUGCUAUUCUCGACCAAAUUCCUUUUUCAACGGAAACAAAAGUCAAUACUGUUAUGUUACGUAAGAUGAACAAGACUAACAAGAAAGCGAGACGUGACUGUGGUAACCCGGGAUGAGGGAAUUGAUAAUGCAUACAAUGACAUUCAAUAAAUGGGCUUCCCUUCUUGCUCACAAGUACUCUAUAUCAGACGGGUAGUUAAUAGACUGCCCGAAUCCUGUCAUCUCGGCUCACAUGCGCCCUUCCUAUACUACACCCCCACACUUAGCUUAUUAUUGUAAUGUUCAAAUUGUAAUGUUUAAUAGUUAGUCAAAUUAGGUACAAAAUUCAUUUUACAAUAUUUGGUUGUAAAGGGAAUAUAGUAUGGGUAAUCAACUUAGGUUCACUCUACGUUGUUUUGUCAAUUAUACAUUUUUUUUCCUGCUAUGUCGUACCCAGCCAGCCACGCAGGCUUCUUUAUUUGCCGAUCCGGAAGUCCGCGUGAGAGGUUGGGUGCCUAAAAUGACCUCUGCCGUGUCGUCUCCCAAAUGAGAUGUCGUACGCAGAGGUUCCACAUUCGUUACUUUAGUGUCGAGGCUAAAACCGGUGUUCUGAUGAUUAAUUUCCUCAAUAGUCUUACCACCGCAAUUUUCAUCCUCCAAACUGCUUCUUUUGUCGACUAAAAUGUUCUUGAAUUCGUUGGGUUACUUCGCUUAACUCGAUUUGUGAACCAGCACUUGCCUUAUGAUCCACUUCGCGAAUCUGUGACAAUCUUGUCCUAGGUAUUCGGUCGAACAUUAAUUUCUUCGGAACAGUGAACGGGGUCGUCCGAUACGUAAAUAAAAAUCUAGAUAUUCGUGUUGGUGUUCGAGCGUUCUUCGGAUCACAUAACAUGGUUUUCAAUUUAGACUUGAAAGUUUAAUAAGAACACCACCUAACGUUACCGACAAUUUAAAAUUUUCGUCUACAACUUUAUUAAAACCCGUGUAAAAUAAAUCUAAUGCAUUGUUGUAUUGUGAUCUGUCUAAGGACUCUUGUUCAUAGAAAUUGUUACAAUUUACCUCAUCAUCCGUCGAGUGUUUGUUUACAAAGUUAACAUUCCUACUACUUUGUCAAUUUUUAGCCGUAUGGCCAGUCACGUUACACAACUGACACUUCCUAUUCUUAUAGAAGCAUUCACCUCGAUGUUUUGCUUUAGCAAGGUGUUUGGGGUAACGGUAGCAAAGUAGUUGCGGUGUAUAGUAGGUUACCUACGUUGGGGACGCGUAUGGACCUAGAAACAUUCUUGCCCAGAACCGUGCAUUAUCCGAAAAUGACCUUACAGAACAGGGCAUCUCUGGAAAAAUUCAUUAGCCAAAUCAUCCAAAUUUAUAAACAUUCGUUAUCGGAAACAUUCAAAAACAGAAUCGUAUUAUUCCAGAAAAUGCAUCAUCAGAAACGUAUUUCUCUAGAAAGGUCCUUUUGCAGAAACAUUCUAAUCGAGAACCAUUCAAUCGCAUAACCGCGCAUCGGCAUAAACGGUCAAAAUCAGAAUCGUGGUGGGAGGACUUAACCUCGUAGUUUCAUUUUUGCCUAACAGAGGGCAGCGUUAUGUGUGAUUUUUAGUGAGGCAUGGCCUAUUAGAUUUUCACGGACCUAGGUGACCUUGGUUUGAAAUUCCAAAAUUUAAAGAAAAUUUCCAAAAAUUGGUAAAAGCUGUUUCUGAUUUAAACAGAAAUUAGCAACCCCAAAUUUUUGUGAGAAAACAGGUGGCAGCUUGUCCCCAUGGUCACAAAUUUAGUUGUUUUUGUUCCUAGAAAAUUAUGUAAAAAAGUGGGGUUAUCUUGUCAUGUUGAGAUGUCAAAAUUUUGAUUUUCACCCAUUUUGUGUCUUUCUGCUCCUUGAAAGCGUAAUUAUCGAAAAUCUGAGGACAGACAUCUCUAUCUUAUGUCUAAUGACAGUGCUACAGGGCAAAAGUGGGUUUCCCGUUAAAUUUUUUUUGUUAUUAAAAAUAGUGUGUACUCAUAUUUAGAAAAAGUUAUUCUGUGGGGAAUACACUUAGAUAUUCUGCAAAGUAACAAUAAAUUUUGUAUGAUGCUUUGUUCUAAAUUUCUCUUUAGUUUUGGCUUUUUUGUUUUAAAAUUCACUUUACAGCUAGAUACCUAUGUCGUCCCCAAAUUUCCAAAAUUGUUUGUCUUUGUUUUUGUCUGCGAAUUUUCUUCUGACUGUUCUUGUCAUUUUUUUCAAAACAGAAAAAACCUAUCUACUUGUUUUAUUAAAAAACACUGACUUUACAUUAAAGAAAACAGACUAGUAAAUUUACAGUUUUUAAAUUCAUCACGAUUUGAAGUUUGUGGGAUUMGGAUUAGAAAAAUAAACACAAAAAGAAUUCUUUUUAAAGUUUAAUAUGUGUAAUUAUUGCACAAAUACAUAGGUAAGGUACAUAUUGGGAAGCAAGUACUAUGCGAGGUUUACUCCUUAAAGCAGAAAGAAAAAGAAAGGAAGUAAGUACUAUGCGAGGAUUACUCCUUAAAUCAGAAAGAAAAAAUAUUAUUACAACUAUAAAAUGCAUGCAAUAACAAAAAAAAAACAGGUUUCCUACUUAACUAACAACAAGCAGAGACUUUUAAAAACGAGAAGUUGAUUGUUUAAGAUACAGAAGAGUAUUAAUUCUUACAAAACCCUUAUCUAAUACCUAAUAAUGUUAAAUCAGUAACUCACCUAAACAGACAAACAGUUCAAGUGAUUCCCGUUAGCGCUUUGAACUGGGGAAACUUUUGACACAUCCAGUUUUUGAAGGUUAAAGUGUUUAACCUCGAAAUAUUGACAGUGACAUUUUAUCUGUUCAUUCGUUUUCAGAAAUUUUAAAAUAGAUUAUUCAAAGGUGAAAAGUAAUCACAGGAAGGAAGGAAGGAAGAAUUUUUCUACAGCCAGGCUUACUAUGAAGGGAACUUGUAGCAAUUACGUUAUCAGUUCGAGUUUUUCCAAUAUUGGCUAACACUGGCCGUAAAAGCUUUACUAAAAUAAUGUUUGUAAUUGCUGAUCUGUGUUCAGCUUCUGCGCCUACAAAGAAAUUCGAAGAAACUAUGGAAUCGUURAAAAGUGAAGUUAAAACUUUAAUGGGGUUACACUUCACAGGCCCACAAAAUUACUGGUGGGGUAUUUUAAGUUACCUUGAUCUUGAAUCUAGUAAACGGUUUGAAUUUGCUCUUGUUUGCACCGUGUUCAAGGAGAUUUCACAUUCAAUCCUCUCCUGUAUUGUGAGACAAAGAUAUCCAGCCAAAAAUACGAUUGAACUUGAGGUAAUUCCUGGAUAUACAUGACAAUUAUCAAUAUUUUGAAGCUCAAAAAUUUCUUCGCCAAUGUGUUCAGGGCUCCAACAGAACUAAGAAAGCUACAGUCCGACGAUAUAUUUGCAGAUGGUGAAGAUGUUAUUAGUCCUGACUGAAUAAUUUUCUUGAUAGCGUAAUGAACAGCACGAGCAUCUGUAGUAUCUUGUGAACCUCCUUGAAGACGAACAUUGCUAAACAUAGAUUCAAUUGCAUCAGAACUAAAACUUCUUGUUAGGACAUAGUAAAAUCCACUUUCUUCCAACACGUACUUUAUGCAUUGAYCAGUACUUGUCCUGACAAGUUGGGAUACAACACUUUUUAUGAGUUUUAUUCAUAUUUUCACAGACUUAAUACUACUCUUUCAAUAUUAAAAUAAUUUAACAAAUAUAAAAAAGCACAAACACAAGAACAACAAAACACAAACCAACUAAACUAAUGAUUAAUAACGCAACAAAUAAAAGCUGGAAAGAAAGGGUAGGUACAACAAAACAGGAUUUCAAAAAUGACUUAAUUAAUGUCGCUUUGAUGACAGAUUGUUAAUUGAUUUGACACUUUUGAUAGUUGGCGUACUACAUAGAACAUAGUAACCCCCGUAACUAAGGAAAAACUCGGAAUCACUGCUCCAAUGCAUUUUUUACGAAAUGCCCAGGCGGGAUAUUCAUACAUUUCAUUAAGGAGGCGGUGGGUUAAAGGAUACAAGAUAAAUAAAAAAACUAUUUAAAAAAAAGAAUCUGGACAAUGUCCUCCCACCUCGACCGACACACGGAACAAGUUGUAAUGUUGCGGGCACGUAUUUCGUUUGAGCAGUUUGUACACAAUGCCCGCAACGAUAAAACAUGUGUGUCGCUCGUGCACCCCGACAAACCACAUAUAGAGGAGGAUUAUGUGGUGGAUCAUCUGUUAAAAGAAAUGCGUUUAUUGCAUUGAAUAAUGUUAAAUUAGCAAACAUACCAAGGGCAGGAACUUCCAGAGGUCCAGGUCGAGGGGGGCUCAGGAGGGGCAACGAAGUGAUUUUGAGCUAGGGCGUCAGRUAUUAAAAAAGAUUGAUGAAUAAUCAAAGAAAAACCACUUAACUUUGAAACCAUCUCUGAAAUUCCUUAUUGUCUAGCAAUGAGUGAAAUGCUUAUGAAAAAAUAAAACUUAUUUCAAACAUACCUGGGGCGUCUACAAUUAAUUGCUCCGGUUCCGGGAAAGGCAGUUCGGGAAGGGCAGCCAAAGGGUCGUCUUAUUUAACAAAGUUUUAUAAGUUAUCGUAUAUUUAAAAAUUAAAUUACUGGAAACGAUAUCUGAAAUACCUAAUUAUUAUGUACUAAAGUAAGCAAAAAUCCAAAUUUAAAAUACAACUUAUUUUAAACAUACCUGGAGCGCCAACGACGAUUYGUUCCGGGUGCGGGGGUUCUGGAGCGGCAGCGAGAGGAUCGUCUAUUUAACAAAAUUUCAUAAAUAGCUUUACAUUUAAAAAUCAGUUAACUCUAGAACGAUAUCUUAAAUCUUUUAUUAUAUUUAUUUAUAAAAGAGGAAGGCAAAAAUCUAAAUAGUUAUUUUAA